rnacentral:lncRNA from 1 species
AUUGUGAUUUAUCAUCAUCUCUACUAUAAGGUCAUCUUUGAGUUUUCCUUCAGUGGUUAUAUCUAAUAUGUCUGGAAAUCCCAUAGGUUUACAUUUCAAAUUCAAGAAGUUCUUCAGUCAAGAGGAAUUUUAGAGCAACCAUAAACCUGGAUCUGUAUAAAGAAAUGACGAGUGCUGCAAGUUAAAUAAAUCAAGGUUUGAUCCUAAAAACAAUUGUGAAGAGGACAAUGGAAAAUUCCUGGAUUCCUCCAGCCUCAUCUCUGGCAGUGCUGACCUCUCCCAGAUUCACCUUCUGAAGUCUCAAGGACCUGUGUUGUCACAUGUGGCCCAUGCAGUUCUGAGACUCUGGAACCAUCAGAAAGAACUUCUACACCCCAUAGGAUCCAUCCGGGUUUGGCUCUCUGCCCUCAGUUCCAAAUCUUUUGCUCUCUGAAUCUUCUACCUGAAUUAUUGGCUUGAUUCUUGACUGGGGCUUUAUUUCAGAUCUGUGCCAUAAGGAUAUUUUCCAUUUAAGAGGCAGUACGAGGUUUCCAUCAAGCUUGUUGGCUUUAAAGGGAGAAUACCUGAGUUAGAAUUUAUUUCCAUAACUUUACUUAAAAGGAGAGCGUGAGACCUUGAGCAAAUUAUUUCAAAUUCUCUGUUUUGGUUUCCUUGAUCUGUAAAAUAGAGAUGCUAAAAAUACUCAUUCAUUUAAAAAGUGUCCAUAGGUUGUUACGAGGAUUACAUGAAAUAACCCAUGUAAAGCACCUGGUCUAUUGUAAACAUGUAAUUACUAUGAGAUAGUAUACCUUCUAUAUAAACCCUCCUUCUGCCCACCUAUCAUAAGCCCAAUUCAGACUCUAAAAAACCCAAAUCCAUCCCUGAUGGGGUGGCCAGGGCCUCAAUUAAUAUAGAAAUGGAAUUUAGAUUAACAUGUUACCUCCUUCAGGAUUGAAAGGAACUCUGGAAUUUAAGAUUCCUCAACCCAAGAUGUACAUUCUAAUGAGAAAAACUUUAGAAAGAAAGCCCAUUUGUCAGUGAGUGCUGCAAGCUGGUAGAAAAAAACACUUGCCUCCAUGUAAAAGCCAAGCAGUUUAUCUCCCAGUUAUUCAGCAAGGCCAUGCCAAAUGCUCAGUGUAGGUUAAACACUACAUCCAGCACAGAAGGUGGCAGAGAUACUAUGACAGAUAUGUAUGUGUUUCUUCAUAGCCCAAUUCUGUGUAAAGAAAAGGUGGAGCUUAUUCAAAUGGAAUAAUAAAAAGCUGAGAGGAUUUGAAAAAUAGAAGUCAUCUAGUAACCUGUUUGUCGUUCUUAUGUGGUUAGCUAUGGUCAUACUAUUGAUUUCUUAUUAACAACCUUUUAUUUUUUAAAGUGGAGACUGUAUAACUCUAUAAGACUACAUUCCCUGAAUCAAAAACUUGGG